ACAAAUCUUCCGGAAGGGAAAGUAAGAGGCCACCACUCUCUACCUCUGGAUGGGACUUUUGCCUGGAAUGGACAGGACAGUAUUUGGGGAUUGCUAAAGCAUGUUCUUCUAUUUGCAAAUGACUGGAAUUCAUAGAACAUGAGGAAUUCAAACAUGGAAGCUUCGUCUCUACUGGAUAAUUUUCAUGUUUUGGAAGGAGCCUUGCAUAAUACUGGAAUAGAAAAGGAAAUAGAAAUCUCACCCAGCUGUGAACUCUGCAAACUACACUGACCUGCUCGCUGGUCUGAAUGUCAUAGCCUGACAAAUACAAAGGUGGAUGCUCAUAGCCAACCAUUGGACUAAGCACAAAGAUCCAAUGGAGGAGUUAGAGAAAGGACUGAAGAAGUUGAAGAGGUUUGCAACCCCAUAGGAAGAACAACAAUAUCAACCAACCAGAACCCUCAGAGCUCCCAGGGACCAAACCUCCAACAAAGAGGAACCCAUGGCUCAAGCCUCAUUAUGAAGCAGAAGAUGGCAUUGUCUGGCAUAAAUAGGAGGAGAAGCCCUUGGUCACGUGAAGGCUCAAUUCCCCAGUAGAGUGGAAUGCCAGGGCAGUGAGGUGGGUGGGAGGGGGAACACUGUCAUAGAAGCAGGGGCAGGGGAAUGGGGGGUUCCAAAGGGGAAGCCAGGAAAGGCAUAACAUUUGAAAUGUAAAUACAUAAAAUAUCAUAC
rnacentral:lncRNA from 1 species